UUACCUGGCAGGGGAGUUAAUGUGGUCACAGAACUAAGAGGUUUUUUUUUUGUUGUUGUUGUUGUUUUGUUUUUCCCCAGAAUGGGACUGAACUCUUGCACUCUGGAUGUGCUGACCUCUGAGAUUUCUCCAAAGAUGAGGAACUCCACUGCAUAGUUUUGGGCAGGUGUAUUCACAUUCAUC
rnacentral:snRNA from 1 species